UAUGAGGGAGAAAAGACCUAUGAAUAGAGUACUUUCUGUUUAUUUUGGUGUUCUUCAAUCUUUUUCAAUAAUGUUUUAUGCUUUUCAGAGGACAUGUUUUAUACUUCGUUUGAUAAAUUUAUUCCUGAUAUCUUAUUCUUUUUUAUGCUGUUGUACCCAGAACUGUUUUCUUAAUUUUAUUUUUGACUUGUUCAUUGCUAGUAUAGAGAAAUACAAUUUUUAUAUAUUCAUCUUGCACUUGUGAUGUAGUUCAACACGUUCCUUCAUCUUCUGUACUUCCUGCAAAUCGGUGGCUGGAUUAAAAGUCUUGAUCAGACUCAGGUUCCGUAUCUUCAGCCAUACAGUACUGUAACCUCUCUCCUGGAUUCCGGAUCCCUCAUGAAGAUUCUGAAAUUGAAAUUGAUGGUGGACCCUCUUGGUUCAGUAAAUCACCUACCUGAGGAUGCUGGGGAGAGAUGUGGAGCCUGGAGAAAUCUUCCGUCAGAAAACUUGGUCUUUGCUCAUUUCCAGUUAAACUUGUGGCACACCUGCCUCUUUGGGAGAACAUUGUGGAGGUGGUAAGCUUUCAUUUCGUCUUCUGAGGUGCCUCUUGGAUUUCACUUUGUCCCUUCCUUUGGAAUUAGACAGCAGUUGUGCUGAGACUUUGACCCAAACACACAUUCUCCAGAUGCUGAGCAUUUUACUUGGAGUGGCAGCAGGUAUAUGUUUGCUCAGAAUCUGUUGUUGAGAUGCUGAUCUGUACCUGAAACUGGAGAUUAAUGUCAGAGUCCUUCCCGCAGUCUGCAGGACCAGUGGGGGAAUGAAAGGGAAAUGUGUGGGGACUCCCCUUUCCCGGUAGCUAAAGGUAAGCCUUUCUGAGUGAAAUUCAAUUGACAUGUGGAUAAUAUAUUAGAAAGUAUUAUUUAGC